GCCGUUUUUGAGAAUUUGGUUUGCAACUAGGUUUCAACAUCCAACCACGCCAUCAGCCCAUUGAAAACAUUAGGUCACGUCAGCUAGUUUCCUAUUCAUUUAUUUUAUUAUCCGGGGCAUGCUUAUACCAACAGUUAUAUAUAUUUAAAAUACUCUGAAUGUUUUUCUGCACCACUGUUUGGUCAAUUAUAGCCUACCUCUGUUGGCAAUAUAUCCAUGCAGAUUACAACACGCGCAAAUUUGCCACUCGCAUUCUUAGUAGCGCAUCUAAGCAUCUCGAAACUGCCUCGCUUUGUAAUUUGUAUAUAAUUUCUCUUUAGAUGAUUCCAUCUACUAAUAGUUAUAGAUUAUUAUUUUAUUUAAGACCAGUUGACCACUGAAAAACGCCUUCUGCUGAGGGUUUAUUAAUUAAAUCGUUAUUCAUUCAUAAAUCUCGCGUAUUAUAGCUAUAUUGGGUCCUACUAUAACCGCACAACAGGUAUGAUAAUCAUUCAUUCAGAGUGAGACGACUAGCUAUAGGAUGUCUUGUAGUAAAUGUUGGCGGCAAAAACGUAGUAUUGUGAAUGUCGAUUAUAUUAAAUUAAUGGCAUGAACAUAAUUUUCUAUUGUCUGCAGAGGACGAUGGAAUCAACUAUCGUAAUUAU